UUCCUAGGCAUUCACCAUAGACUCUUAUUACUUUGACCAUAUUUUUAUCUUCCAUCUCUAUUUUGCCAAUUUGUUUAUACAACAUAGAAUAAUAUAUAUCUUUGUUUAAUCCAUGUCAAUAUAUAUUUUACUUUUUAUAUUAUUUGAAUAAAACAUUCAAAAACAUGAACAUCUAAAAACAUAAAAAAUAAAAUCAAUGUUUAAAGUAUAAAACAAAAACCCUGGCAACAACUUACUCUCCCGCGUAACUCGCAGA
rnacentral:misc_RNA from 1 species